ACGAACGCUGGCGGCGUGCCUAAUACAUGCAAGUUGAGCGAUGAAGAUUGGUGCUUGCACCAAUUUGAAGAGCAGCGAACGGGUGAGUAACGCGUGGGGAAUCUGCCUUUGAGCGGGGGACAACAUUUGGAAACGAAUGCUAAUACCGCAUAACAACUUUAAACAUCAGUUUUAAGUUUGAAAGAUGCAAUUGCAUCACUCAAAGAUGAUCCCGCGUUGUAUUAGCUAGUUGGUGAGGUAAAGGCUCACCAAGGCGAUGAUACAUAGCCGACCUGAGAGGGUGAUCGGCCACAUUGGGACGGAGACACGGCCCAAACUCCUACGGGAGGCAGCAGUAGGGAAUCUUCGGCAAUGGACGAAAGUCUGACCGAGCAACGCCGCGUGAGUGAAGAAGGGUUUCGGAUCGUAAAACUCUGUUGGUAGAGAAGAACGUUGGUGAGAGUGGAAAGCUCAUCAAGUGACGGUAACUACCCAGAAAGGGGCGGCUAACUACGUG
rnacentral:rRNA from 1 species